GUUACAAAACAAUGUGGAAAGAAAAAGCAUCCUUGUGACCUUAGUUGCUAAAAAUUGGCGGAUGCCGCCUAUACAAAAGUAAGGGGCCUCGCCCAUCUGUAACACAUUUACUUCCCAUUUCUUCAGACAGUUGCUGCUUUGAGGGUGAGAAAAUCAGAAAUUUGGUUUGUGUAGAAAUCUGGCUGGAUCGAGUUGUCAGGGCUCUGAAGCAUCUGUACAGAAGUGACACCUGAAAGGACCAGAAGAGUUUUGCAACCUCCGUUUUGGCCAAACAAGAUGUCGGUAUCCAAACGGUCACCAACCAUGCAUAUCUGGGAUGUUGUGAUCCCAAACUUCUUUGCCAGGUAGUCCAUCAUGAAUGUUGACGGCUUCCCGACAACGAGCGGUUCUUGUUUAGUUGAACCAAGAAU
rnacentral:misc_RNA from 1 species